GAUGAAGAACGUAGCGAAAUGCGAUAAGUAAUGCGAAUUGCAGAAUUCCAGUGAGUCAUCGAAUCUUUGAACGCACAUAGCGCCCUUUGGUAUUCCGAAGGGCAUGCCUGUUCGAGCGUCAUUAUCACCCCUCAAGCCCUCGGCUUGGUGUUGGACGGUUUGGUGGAGGCCCCCUCGGGGGCUCCUGCCCCUCCCAAAGACAAUGACGGCGGCCUCGUUGGACCCCCGGUACACUGAGUUCUUCACGGGACACGUAUCGGACACAUGGGUUUACGGGACACGGUCUGCCUCCCCUCAGGGAGAAUCUUUCUAAGGUUGACCUCGGAUCAGGUAGGGAUACCCGCUGAACUUAAGCAUAUCAAUAAGCGGAGGA
rnacentral:misc_RNA from 1 species